rnacentral:rRNA from 1 species
UACGGAGGGAGCUAGCGUUGUUCGGAAUUACUGGGCGUAAAGCGCGCGUAGGCGGCUUUGUAAGUUAGGGGUGAAAGCCCGGAGCUCAACUCCGGAACUGCCUUUAAAACUGCAUCGCUUGAAUCCAGGAGAGGUGAGUGGAAUUCCGAGUGUAGAGGUGAAAUUCGUAGAUAUUCGGAAGAACACCAGUGGCGAAGGCGGCUCACUGGACUGGUAUUGACGCUGAGGUGCGAAAGCGUGGGGAGCAAACAGG